UAACCGAGAUUUCUCAAAACUCGGAAACUUGGUUUUCGGGAAAUAUAGUUUUCAUAAAUCCCCCAUCCAAACAGGACUUUUUCAGAAGUCUGAAUAAAAGGUUUUCAGUUCAGAUCUGCACUUCUUAUUUCCUCAUUUCUAUCUCAGAGAUCGGUGCUCAAUUGAUUGAGAAGUGAGUUGUUGUUGAAUAUCUGUAUCAAUCAGUCUCAUACGUUCGGAUCUCUCACAAUUCAGAAGCAUUCACAAUGGUGGUUCUUGCCGCUUCUAUCAUUAGCAAGUCUGGUAAAGCACUAGUCUCGAGGCAGUUUGUGGAUAUGUCUCGUAUAAGGAUAGAAGGAUUGCUUGCAGCAUUUCCCAAGUUGGUUGGCAUAGGAAAACAACACACAUACGUUGAGACUGAAAAUGUCCGUUAUGUCUACCAGCCGAUAGAAGCUCUAUAUUUGCUGCUUGUAACCAACAAGCAGAGCAACAUACUUGAAGACUUGGACACCUUGAGUAUUCUGUCCAAACUCGUACCUGAGUAUUCUCCCUCUCUAGAUGAGGAGGGUAUUUGCCAGACGGCCUUUGAGCUGAUUUUUGCUUUUGACGAAGUCAUCUCUCUUGGGCACAAAGAAAAUGUAAAUGUUGCACAGGUUAAACAAUAUUGCGAGAUGGAAAGUCAAGAAGAAAAGCUGCAUAAGCUGCUAAUGCAGAGCAAGAUCAAUGAAACCAAGGAUGUCAUGAAGCGCAAAGCCAGUGAGAUUGACAAAAGCAAGCAGAUUGAUAGGAAUAGAGGUGAUAAAGGAGGUUUUAUGUCUAUGCACUCAAUGGGUUCAGGAAGAAUUGAAAGUAGCCUUAGUGAUAUGAGUAUAUCUGGUGGAGGAGGCGGUUUUGGAAGUGGUUCUGGUUCUGGAUUGGGCACUGAAGUUGAAUCCUUUUCUAUCAAGCCCAAAGGUCGUCCAUCUGCAUCGGCCAAUGCUCCUCCAAAAGGUCUUGGCAUGAAACUCGGCAAGACACAAAAAACGAACCAAUUCUUGGAAUCUUUGAAAGCGGAAGGCGAAUUGAUUUCGGAGGAUGUGCAACCAACUGCUUCUCAGCCAAGGUCAUCCGUUACACUUCCACUAACUGAUCCCAUCACAUUGACUGCUGAAGAGAGGCUUAAUGUGACACUCAAGCGAGAUGGCGGAGUUAGCAAUUUUGAUGUUCAAGGCACCCUUUCGCUCCAAAUUCUAAACCAGGAAGAUGCGCUAAUCCAAGUUCAGAUUGAAACUGUUUCGAAUUCUGGUGUCCUCUUCAAAACUCACCCCAACAUCAACAAAGAGUUAUUUUCAAAUGAAAAUAUUCUUGGGCUGAAGGAUCCUAACAGGCCUUUUCCCACUGGCCAAACUGGUGAUGCAGCAGGAGUUGGUCUUCUGAAGUGGAGAAUGCAGAGCAUGGAUGAAUCUCUUGUGCCGCUGACCAUCAACUGCUGGCCCUCGGUUUCUGGAGGUGAAACUUAUGUCAGCAUGGAAUAUGAAGCUUCAUCGAUGUUUGACCUACAAAAUGUUGUGAUCACAGUACCAUUGCCCGCACUUAGAGAGGCACCGAAUGUCCGUCAGGUUGAUGGGGAAUGGAGGUAUGACCCGAGGGGUUCUGUCUUGGAGUGGUCCAUUCUUCUCAUUGAAAACUCGAAUCGCAGUGGAUCGAUGGAGUUUGUUGUUCCUCCAGCAGAUUCUUCUGUCUUUUUCCCCAUCAAUGUUGGAUUUACUGCUGCAAACACAUUCAGCGACAUAAAGGUUCUUGGGGUCUUGCCACUAAGAGGUGGCCCACCUCCCAAGUUUGCUCAAAGAACACAGCUGAUCACUGAAAACUACCAUGUUGUUUGACUCCAAGUGGGAGCAGCAAUGGGCGGGUAACCUCUAAUCUCAGGUUUGCCACUGUGCGGUUGAGCUAUGGUCUGAAAAUCAGGUGGAUUUAAAACUCAGGUGGGCUAUACCAUGGGAAUUGUUGAGAUAUGGACACUCACCAUUAUGAUUGUCCAAAUUGUGUGGGUUCCACCCUGCCCUGUGUGUGUGUACAUGCGAUCCAAUCUAUGCAUUUGAUGCUCCCUGCGAGGAUGAAGGGACGACCUUAAAAUCAGGACAUUCCAAGACUCGUGCGGGCCACACCGCAUGAAUUUAGAGGACCUGGCUAUAUCUUCUAGACUCAAGGUGAUGCAUCAAUGAUCGAAACCGAUCAAAGGAUGGGCCUCAAGUUUAGUGCGGAUGCUGAGGAAAAAAAAAAAAAACUUUUGGGUUGAAAUAUUUCAGCAUCUUUGAUCUUAUCCAUUGAAUAAGGACCAUCUCCAUUACCAUUGCUUUGUAUGCCGAUUUAGGAUCUUAUGAUCAUGAAGAAUUUUGAGGCAACCACUGCUAGUUGUUGAUCUCGUCCUAUCAAUGGCUUGAAUCAUUGAAACA